rnacentral:rRNA from 1 species
GACGAACGCUGGCGGCGUGCUUAACACAUGCAAGUCGAACGGAAAGGCCCUGCUUUUGUGGGGUGCUCGAGUGGCGAACGGGUGAGUAACACGUGAGUAACCUGCCCUUGACUUUGGGAUAACUUCAGGAAACUGGGGCUACUACCGGAUAGGAGCUCCUGCUGCAUGGUGGGGGUUGGAACUUUUCGGUGGUUGGGGAUGGACUCGCGGCUUAUCAGCUUGUUGGUUGGGUAGUGGCUUACCAAGGCUUUGACGGGUAGCCGGCCUGAGAGGGGGACCGGCGACAUUGGGACUGAGAUACGGCGCAGACGCCUACGGGAGGCAGCAGUGGGGAAUAUGGCACAAUGGGCGGAAGCCUGAUGCAGCAACGCCGCGUGCGGGAAGACGGCCUUCGGGUUGUAAACCGCAUUCGCCUGUGACGAAGCGUGAGUGACGGUAAUGGGUAAAGAAGCACCGGCUAACUACGUG